UACGAAGGGGGCUAGCGUUGUUCGGAUUUACUGGGCGUAAAGCGCACGUAGGCGGAUCGUUAAGUCGGGGGUGAAAUCCUGGAGCUCAACUCCAGAACUGCCUUCGAUACUGGCGAUCUAGAGUCCGGAAGAGGUGAGUGGAACUCCUAGUGUAGAGGUGGAAUUCGUAGAUAUUAGGAAGAACACCAGUGGCGAAGGCGGCUCACUGGUCCGGUACUGACGCUGAGGUGCGAAAGCGUGGGGAGCGAUCCGG
rnacentral:rRNA from 1 species